CAGGCCGGGCACGGUGGCUCACGCCUGUAAUCCCAGCACUUUGGGAGGCCGAGGCGGGCGGAUCACGAGGUCAGGAGAUCGAGACCAUCCCGGCUAAAACGGUGAAACCCCGUCUCUACU
rnacentral:misc_RNA from 1 species